rnacentral:tRNA from 1 species
UCCCGUGUGGCUCAGUUGGUAGAGCAUGGUGUUUGCAACGCCAGGGUUUUGGGUUUGUUUCCCACAGGGGAC